rnacentral:rRNA from 1 species
CAAAGGUUGACCUCGGAUCAGGUAGGAAUACCCGCUGAACUUAAGCAUAUC